rnacentral:lncRNA from 1 species
UCCGCGUGGGCAGCAGACAGGAGACAAGGACCCUGGCAGGGCGGGUGUUCCCCCGCAGGAGGCUGCACCAAACACUCAUCUUCGGAAGCGGAGGUCCACCAGCAUCACGCCGUAAAAGCGAGCUGUCAGCUCACCCUCACUGCAGGCUGACAGUCCCUUUCAGUGAGAACGUGCAGACCUCUCGAUCGUGCUUUUUCAGCAGAGAAAACCCCGGAGUCAGUGUGUUUAAUGAAACUCAUCCCACCAUAGGCGUGGACCGCAGGGACUGUCCCCACGCCAGCAGAGCGCGCGGUGCGGGGACACAGGCGGCUCCUCCCGCCGUGCUCCCCCCGCACAACCCUCUGCCCACUUCAGAACGGCCUGGGCACGCCGCUUUCUGUUCCCCCCGCUCGCCCGAGCCGCGGGUACCUUCGCCACCGGGGAACUCACUGCGGCGGCGCUACCCAGCGAUCGGUCUUCAACAUGGCUGGCACUGACACAGCUACCUUCCUUCCUGCAUGCGGCUCAGUGCAACGUGUGACAGUAUCGCCGCUGAAAUGCAGAAUUCUCCGUGGUUUACACUUUCUGUAAAGACAAACAAUUUAAUUUGCAUGUAUCAAAAAGAAAAUGGUGGCUUCUCAUCUCUCGGUGAAGACUGAAUAGAAAACUGAUGUGGUGAUGCCUUAACACUGGGGCACUGUUUCACAGAGAAUAAUGUAUGCGCUGAACUGUCAUCAUAAAAUUAGACAAACUUUUUAAUGAGCAGUGAAUGUUUUAAGAUGCAGUUCCUUUCCCUGCACUUAAUGUCUGAAUGUUAUAACGGGUGUCUGCCUUAAUAGAACACACUCAGCCUCAUGUGUUGUGAUAUAGAUAAAACAGGGAAUAGGCUAGAGACGGGAAAUGUAAAUGCUAUCCAGGAACUGAUUUUUCUUAGGCUUGCUGUAGGAUAUUCAAUGAGAUGAAAAAGUAUAAAUGGUAAAUGGUACAUAUUUAUCAUCUGAGCAUUAUUGAUCUAGAUGAAAAGAAAACAAGUAAAAAUCAGCAUUUUAAACAGAACUUAAAAAUGAAUCUCUGAGACUUUGAAACCUGUAAUCAAUGUAAAUUGGAGGGGAGGAGAAGGAAGGGAUUGGGGGAACAGUUGCAGGCAUUGAGCACAUGUUCUACUUCUUCAUCUUUGUCUAAGGAAAUAGGUAUCAUGAUGAAGAAGAUAAAGCAACCACCUAAAUUUACUGGAUUUCAAAUCAACUAGUAGCACUUCUGAAUUUUGCGGGGUACUGCUGCAAAUCAGCGUGUUGUGUCUGUGCUUUGUUGGAGCAGCAGACCUAUUUGCAAAGCUGUUUGUCACACUGUUGUUUUUAUUAUAAUAAGGCUUAUAUGGAAAUACUCCUGCAAUGCUUCUAAAGAAAAGACGAAUGGCAGCGUUUAUAGGAGGUGGCAGAUUAUGCCACAGCGUGUGCGUGGGGAGGAGGGGGUUGGUGUCGCUCGUCCCAGCCCCCUUACUAAAGAGGGAUUGACAUUACUUUGUUUAGUUAUGAGG